rnacentral:misc_RNA from 1 species
GGAAGUAAAAGUCGUAAUAAGGUAUCCGUAGGUGAACCUGCGGAUGGAUCAUUAUCACGUGACCCACGUUUAGCUCACCGUGAACCGUAUUUACCUUUAGAGAUUCGAAUUGAGUUACCGCUGGGGGAGGGAGAUUUGUUUCUCUUUUUUCUGGUGCAACAGUCUCUUUUUUUCUCGUCCAAGAGAUUUUUGGUGGAGACUUACUUGUAACUCGGCUAAUUCUAAAUCCAUGGGUGUGCCGACCGCGGAUACAUAAUUAGUUAAGUGUAGGAGAAGGUUCGGAUUAGUUGAGGUUGAA